CCGGGUCGGCGGGGACAAGCCACGCGACCUGGUUCUCGUCCGGGGCAUCGAACCGUCCAUGCGGUGGCGGUCGUUCUGCAACGAACUGCUCGGC
rnacentral:tRNA from 1 species